rnacentral:rRNA from 1 species
UACGUAGGUGGCAAGCGUUAUCCGGAUUUACUGGGUGUAAAGGGCGUGUAGGCGGGACUGCAAGUCAGAUGUGAAAACCACGGGCUCAACCUGUGGCCUGCAUUUGAAACUGUAGUUCUUGAGUACUGGAGAGGCAGACGGAAUUCCUAGUGUAGCGGUGAAAUGCGUAGAUAUUAGGAGGAACACCAGUGGCGAAGGCGGUCUGCUGGACAGCGACUGACGCUGAGGCGCGAAAGCGUGGGGAGCAAACAGG